UGACCACUCCAUCUGGAGUCGAGGCCAUACGGACAGCCGGGUCAAAUGCCGA
rnacentral:sRNA from 1 species